GGAGUUGUGGCUCAGUGGUAGAGCACUUGCCUGGCAUGUGUGAGGCCCUAGGUUCAAUCUUCAGCACCA
rnacentral:tRNA from 1 species